AGCAGCCGCGGUAAUUCCAGCUCCAAUAGCGUAUAUUAAAGUUGUUGCAGUUAAAAAGCUCGUAGUUGAAUUUCGGGAUCAGUAUGUUGGUCGUGCUUCGGUACGUACUGUCAUUACUGGUUUCUCCCUUCUGAAGAACCUUGAUGUCAUUAAUUUGGUGUCUUGGGGAAUCAGGACUGUUACUUUGAAAAAUUAGAGUGUUUAAAGCAAGCAUACGCUUGAAUACAUUAGCAUGGAAUAAUGAAAUAGGACGUUUGAUUCUAUUUUGUUGGUUUCUAGGAUCGACGUAAUGAUUAAUAGGGAUAGUUGGGGGCAUUAGUAUUCAAUUGUCAGAGGUGAAAUUCUUGGAUUUAUUGAAGACUAACUACUGCGAAAGCAUUUGCCAAGGAUGUUUUCAUUAAUCAAGAACGAAAGUUAGGGGAUCGAAGACGAUCAGAUACCGUCGUAGUC
rnacentral:rRNA from 1 species